rnacentral:rRNA from 1 species
UUGCACGCUGGCGGCAUGCCUUACACCUGCCCGUCGAACGGCAGCACGGGUGCUUGCCCCUGGUGGCGAGUGGCGAACGGGUGAGUAAUACAUCGGAACAUGUCCUGUAGUGGGGGAUAGCCCGGCGAAAGCCGGAUUAAUACCGCAUACGAUCUACGGAUGAACGCGGGGGACCUUCGGGCCUCGCGCUAUAGGGUUGGCCGAUGGCGGAUUAGCUAGUUGGUGGGGUAAAGGCCUACCAAGGCGACGAUCAGUAGCUGGUCUGAGAGGACGACCAGCCACACUGGGACUGAGACACGGCCCAGACUCCUACGGGAGGCAGCAGUGGGGAAUUUUGGACAAUGGGCGAAAGCCUGAUCCAGCAAUGCCGCGUGUGUGAAGAAGGCCUUCGGGUUGUAAAGCACUUUUGUCCGGAAAGAAAUCCUUGGCCCUAAUACGGUCGGGGGAUGACGGUACCGGAAGAAUAAGCACCGGCUAACUACGUG